rnacentral:rRNA from 1 species
GACGAACGCUGGCGGCGUGCUUAACACAUGCAAGUCGAACGGAAAGGCCUGCUUUCCCUUGUGGUUUGCGUGUCCUCGAGCGGCGAACGGGUGAGUAACUCGUGAGUGACUUGCCCCCAACUUGGGUAUAAGCCCGGGAACCUGGGUCUAAUUACCGAUAGGACUGCAGGGUGGUGUCUUUGGUGGAAAUCGAUCUUCUAGUGGUUGGGGAUGCGCUCGCGGCCUAUCAGCUUGUUGGUGGGGUAAUGGCCUACCAAGGCGGCGACGGGUAGCCGGCCUGGGAGCGUGGACGGCGGCAUUGAGACAGGGAUACGGCCCAGACGGCUGCGAGAGGCAGCGAAGGGUAAUAUAGGGGAGUGAGCGGGAGCCAGAUGCAGCGAGGCAGCGUGGGAGAUGACGGCGUUGGGAUUGUAAACUCCUUGCGAACAAGAGGAAGCCACCUGGUUGGAAGGGUGGUGACGGUAGUGGUAGAAGAAGCACCGGCUAACUACGUG